rnacentral:lncRNA from 1 species
UUAUUUAUAAAAAGUUAUUUCUAUUAUUAAGUAUUUACUGUAUCUUUGAUCUCAAAUACUAAAAAGGGAAUGUUUUGAAAUUUUAAGCCGAAACUAACUGAUAUCCCCCAUUUUAGAGAUCAAUACAUUAAUUUAGUUGUGUAUGAAUGGUUAAAUUUGACAAUAUUAUUCAAAAUUUAAUAUAAAGAAAAUAUUAUUCAAAAUUUAAUAUAAAGAAAAUUGGUUAAGAAAAGUAGAAUUGGAUACGAG